UACGUAGGGGGCAAGCGUUGUCCGGAUUUAUUGGGCGUAAAGCGCUCGCAGGUGGUUCGAUGCGUCGUGCGUGAAAGACCCCGGCUCAACUGGGGAGGGUCGUGCGAUACGGUCGGACUGGAGGCCAGUAGGGGGAUGCGGAAUUCCGGGUGUAGUGGUGGAAUGCGUAGAGAUCCGGAGGAACACCAGUGGCGAAGGCGACACGCUGGGCCAUACCUGACGCUAAAGCGCGACAGCAUGGGGAGCAAACGGG
rnacentral:rRNA from 1 species